AUUAACAGCGCCUGUCAGCAUCGGCGAAGAAACAAACUCUGAACAACGUCGACCUGGAUACCAAAAUAAAUGGUAACACAGGGACAACCAUGGUCUGAUCACCACAUAUCCGCUCGGGAUUAUUAUUCUUUCUUCUUUUUCUUUUGCUUUUCUUGAACCCCGAAAUUUUCUCUGCCCUUUUUCAUUUUCUUGAACCCCGAACGUUUCUCUGCUUCUUUUUCUUAUUUUCUUGAACCCCGAACGUUUUUCCGCGCAAACGAUCCUCG
rnacentral:lncRNA from 1 species